rnacentral:rRNA from 1 species
GACGAACGCUGGCGGCGUGCUUAACACAUGCAAGUCGAACGGUAAGGCCCUUCGGGGUACACGAGUGGCGAACGGGUGAGUAACACGUGGGUGAUCUGCCCUGCACUUCGGGAUAAGCCUGGGAAACUGGGUCUAAUACCGGAUAGGACCACUGCCUGCAUGGGUGGUGGUGGAAAGCUUUUGCGGUGUGGGAUGGGCCCGCGGCCUAUCAGCUUGUUGGUGGGGUGAUGGCCUACCAAGGCGACGACGGGUAGCCGGCCUGAGAGGGUGACCGGCCAAAGUGGGACUGAGAUACGGCCCAGACUCCUGCGGGAGGCAGCAGUGGGGAAUAUUGCACGAUGGGCGCAAGCCUGAUGCAGCGACGCCGCGUGAGGGAUGACGGCCUUCGGGUUGUAAACCUCUUUCAGCACCGACGAAGCGCAAGUGACGGUAGGUGCAGAAGAAGGACCGGCCAACUACGUGCCAGCCGCCGCGGUAA